rnacentral:pre_miRNA from 1 species
CCAGGCGGCUGGAUCUGCCGACGAGGAGGCCGGGGUCACCGGAAUCGAUGGUCCUGACCUCCUCGUUGGCGGAUGCAGCGACCGAA